rnacentral:rRNA from 1 species
AUUGAACGCUGGCGGCAUGCCUAACACAUGCAAGUCGGACGAGUGGCGGACUGGUGCAUAACGCCUGGGAACGUACCCAGUAAUGGGGGAUAACUGUUCGAAAGGACAGCUAAUACCGCCUACAAUUAGAUGUGCCGAUAUCGGAUUAGCUGGUUGGCGGGGUAAAGGCUCACCAAGGCGACGAUCAGUAGCUGGUCUGAGAGGAUGAUCAGCCAUACGGGGACUGAGACACGGCCCAGACUCCUCCGGGAGGCAGCAGUGGGUAAUAUUGGACAAUGGGCGCAAGCCUGAUCCAGCCAUGCCGCGUGUAUGAAGAAGGCCUUCGGGUUGUAAAGGACUUUUGUCAGGGAAGCGGUACCUGAAGAAUAAGCACCGGCUAACUCCGUGCCAGCAGCCGCGGUAAUUC